GAGAACCAAGAGUGCAAUAAAGAGGAUAGGGAAUUUGGCGCAAAAGGACCGAUGUUGAUAGCCCAACUUGACGUUUCAACCUUAAUAAAAAUGGGGACGCUGCAUUUUCAUAAAAGAUCUUCAAUGAACUAAUUCUAUGCAAAUUACGCAUCAUGUAACAACAAGUUUCAGAGACCUAAAUUCAUACAAAAUUUCAACUUUAUCCCAUCACUUUAAAUAAGACUACAUGACCCUGAAUUUUCUAAGAAAACCAAAUGCAAAUAUUAAAACCAAACUCACAAGUUCUCAAAUCUGAUUUUUAACUCAAAUUCCGUUCACAACCUUUUAAACAUUAAGGAGCCUAUGCAUGAAUAAGGACAAUACUAAAUUAUGAGCUUCCUGAAAUCAACAGACCAUGUUUCAAGCUAUGCAUGAGUGAAUCUGAACAUAUGAUGUAUGAAAAACCAGACCCAGCCCAGAUUUCAACAGUCCCAAACAUGAAUGAUUCAAACUAACAUACAUACAACCUAUAGCCACACUCAAAAUCAAACAAACUCGCAAUCAAGCUAAAGAACCAGAGCCUUCGGUUAAUACACAUACCUUAUAUCUUCAGUUAAUACACAUGCCUAACAUCUAAUAUAUUGUUGAAUUGAAUACAUUCAAGACAGAAUCUACAUUUAAUCUUUAAAAACAAGUGUAGUACUGAUUACAUGAUGAGCUACACAUAAAAAAAUUGGCUAAGAGAAGACAUGAAACACAAUGCAACAAAUUUAAAGAAAAGAGACUGGUAGAGCCAUGGAGAAAAAUCCCUUUCUUCAACUGGAAUUCAUAUCUUCAUACAAUAUCCUAAAAGAGACAUCAUUUCCAUUCAUGGUUCAAUAGAAAUACCUGGGAAACAAAAGGAAACAGGAGAAAUGAUGAUUCAAUAAACAACAACAGAAGAUCAACAACCAGAUUCAAUGGAACAGUAACCCAGAAAACCAAACAUCUUCAAACCAAGUUUUUAAAUCCCCAGAAUCAAAUCAUUUUUUUUAGCAAGGUGCAAGGAUUUGAAAUGCUCCAAGAACUCUAACUAAUAGGGAGGAUCAGGAAACCUAGACUAAGCAGGAUUUGAGAUAUUUUAAACAGAGAAAUGUGAAGAAUCUAAAUGUUAAUUCAGAGUUUUUCAAGCAUUCAAGCCAUUUUAGUUUUUCGGGAUUUUUCUCUUAAUUUCUCUGACUUUAAUCUCAAGUUAUGGUGCCUUUAUAGGCAAGGAAUUAGGGCUGCAUAAAAGAAUUCAAUUUUACAAUUGAACCUUUUUUAAUUUUUAUUUUUGCUUAAGUGUCUCUAGUGUAAAAGAUUAAUUUUUAUAUUAGUCCUCACCCCAGCUUCUAGGUAGCUUCCUUGCGCAAUUACAUCCAAAUUCCCUAACCUAAAUUUCCUAGAUUAUCCUCUAGGAGCCCUAUUUUUACCCAUGAAACCAAACGGAUCAUGGGUCAAGUUGACCCAGUUAUUAAAACCCAGUCCCACUUGCAAAAAUCUAGGUCCAAGUCCCUUUUGGGCUUCUGAUUUCAACAGAACCUUAAUUCCAUAAUUAAAGGCUCAAAACCUUACAAUUCCAUUUACAUAGUCCCAAGGACUCGAGCAAUUUUGGGCUUAAAGGAUAAACAAAAACUCUGAAACACAUUAACUCAAAAACAGAAAAAGAAUACAAAUUAAACGAAUUCAAAGACCAAUAUGCAAAACUAACAAUUUGAAAGAAAUGAAAGAAAAGGAAGCAAAAAAUAAUAAAAAAAAGAAUAAAAGACAAAAGAAAAAUAUGAGAAGGGAACAAAACUAAAUAUCAAAAAAUAAAGAAAAGAACAGUACCUAAAAACAAUCUUGGUCCAGGAAACAAGGAAGAAGAAACUUCAAAUCUUCAAGUAUUUGGCCGAUUUUGAUAUUAAUCAUGUGUUCUUAUCAAGAACACACGAAUAAAAUUGAAAUAAGCCUAAAUCUUCAAGAAAUCUCGAAUGAGGGCUUUGGGGAUUUUGUGGUUCAGAUCUUUGAUCAAAGAUUCAAGAAAUUCUAGCAAGAUUCGAAGGGAAAGAGUUGAAUAUUAGGGAAAAGGAGGGUGUGAGGGUUCCAUGGUAUUGAUUUCGGAGCGAUUGGUGGUGGCUCCGCCGGUUUAAGGUGGGGAAGUGGAGGCGGUGAUCUAGGGUUUGUUCUUGAAUAUCUGUAGAUUGGGGGAAUGAGAGACGAUGAGAGAAGGGGGACAACAAUUCGGACAGUUAA
rnacentral:lncRNA from 1 species